AUGCUGACCAUAGACCUGCACUAUGAAGACCUUGUUAUUGAUUCUGUACCAGAGGUGAGGGAAAUGAGGGAUCUUAUAGGUGAAUCUGUUUCAACACAGAACCAGCAGGGGAAUAGAACUGAACACCCACACCCAGCUAGCUCAAAAAGAAGGCGUACUUCUUCCAUCAAGGCUGCUUCUAAAGUAGUUUUAAAGACUUCAACAUAUCCCAACAAGCGAAAUGUUGUGUAUGGUACUAUUCGGAGCACUGAUCAAAGAACUAAGGCUGGUGGCAUUGAAUUAGGUGUUGAAUUUGCCAUUGUGCGCAUAUAUCAACCUAUUCUUGAUAAUGAGGAGUUGAUUCAAGAGAAGGAUAAUUGA
rnacentral:rRNA from 1 species